GGAUGAACGCUAGCGAUAGGCCUAACACAUGCAAGUCGAGGGGCAGCACAUGAGUAGCAAUACGAUGGUGGCGACCGGCGCACGGGUGAGUAACACGUAUGCAACCUACCUUUAACAGGGGAAUAACCCGUUGAAAAACGGACUAAUACUCCAUAACACAGGGGUCCCGCAUGGGAAUAUUUGUUAAAGAUUUAUCGGUUGAAGAUGGGCAUGCGUUCCAUUAGCUUGUUGGUGAGGUAACGGCUCACCAAGGCUACGAUGGAUAGGGGAACUGAGAGGUUUAUCCCCCACACUGGAACUGAGACACGGUCCAGACUCCUACGGAAGGCAGCAGUGAGGAAUAUUGGUCAAUGGAGGCAACUCUGAACCAGCCAAGUCGCGUGAAGGAUGAAGGUCUUAUGGAUUGUAAACUUCUUUUUCAAGGGAAUAAAGUGGGGGACGUGUCCUCCUUUGCAUGUACCUUGCGAAUAAGGAUCGGCUAACUCCGUGCCAGCAGCCGCGGUAAUACGGAGGAUCCGAGCGUUAUCCGGAUUUAUUGGGUUUAAAGGGUGCGCAGGCGGGAUGUUAAGUCGGCGGUGAAAUUUUGCAGCUCAACUGUAAAAGUGCCUUCGAUACUGGCUUUCUUGAGUGUGGAUGAAGUAGGCGGAAUUUGUGGUGUAGCGGUGAAAUGCUUAGAUAUCACGAGGAACUCCGAUUGCGCAGGCAGCUUACUAAACCACUACUGACGCUCAUGCACGAAGGCGUGGGGAUCAAACAGGAUUAGAUACCCUGGUAGUCCACGCAGUAAACGAUGAUUACUAGUUGUUUGCGAUACAAUGUAAGCGACUGAGCGAAAGCGUUAAGUAAUCCACCUGGGGAGUACGUUCGCAAGAAUGAAACUCAAAGGAAUUGACGGGGGCCCGCACAAGCGGAGGAACAUGUGGUUUAAUUCGAUGAUACGCGAGGAACCUUACCCGGGCUUGAAAUGCGGCGGACCGGCAGAGAGAUCUGCCUUCCCUUCGGGGCCGCCGUGUAGGUGCUGCAUGGUUGUCGUCAGCUCGUGUCGUGAGAUGUUGGGUUAAGUCCCACAACGAGCGCAACCCCUGUCCUUAGUUGCCACAGGUAAUGCUGAGCACUCUAAGGAGACUGCCAGGGACAACCUGGAGGAAGGUGGGGAUGACGUCAAAUCCUCAUGGCCCUUAUGUCCUGGGCGACACACGUGCUACAAUGGCUAGUACAGAGGGUUGCAAACCCGUAAGGGGGAGCCAAUCCCAGAAAACUGGCCCCAGUUGGGAUUGUCGGCUGCAACUCGCCGACAUGAACGAGGAAUCGCUAGUAAUCGCGCAUCAGCCACGGCGCGGUGAAUACGUUCCCGGGCCU
rnacentral:rRNA from 1 species